UACAGAGGGUGCAAGCGUUAAUCGGAAUUACUGGGCGUAAAGCGUGCGUAGACGGUUAUGUAAGUCAGAUGUGAAAGCCCCGGGCUCAACCUGGGAAUUGCAUUUGAGACUGCAUAGCUAGGGUGCGGAAGAGGGAAGCGGAAUUUCCGGUGUAGCGGUGAAAUGCGUAGAUAUCGGAAGGAACACCAGUGGCGAAAGCGGCUUCCUGGUCCAGCACCGACGUCAGGCACGAAAGCGUGGGGAGCAACAGG
rnacentral:rRNA from 1 species